UGGGGAAUAUUGCACAAUGGGCGCAAGCCUGAUGCAGCCAUGCCGCGUGUGUGAAGAAGGCCUUCGGGUUGUAAAGCACUUUCAGCGGGGAGGAAGGCGUUAAGGUUAAUAACCUUGGCGAUUGACGUUACCCGCAGAAGAAGCACCGGCUAACUCCGUGCCAGCAGCCGCGGUAAUACGGAGGGUGCAAGCGUUAAUCGGAAUUACUGGGCGUAAAGCGCACGCAGGCGGUUGAUUGAGUCAGAUGUGAAAUCCCCGGGCUUAACCCGGGAAUUGCAUCUGAUACUGGUCAGCUAGAGUCUUGUAGAGGGGGGUAGAAUUCCAGGUGUAGCGGUGAAAUGCGUAGAGAUCUGGAGGAAUACCGGUGGCGAAGGCGGCCCCCUGGACAAAGACUGACGCUCAGGUGCGAAAGCGUGGGGAGCAAACAGG
rnacentral:rRNA from 1 species